rnacentral:rRNA from 1 species
GAUGAACGCUGGCGGCGUGCCUAAUACAUGCAAGUCGAGCGAACGGACGAGAAGCUUGCUUCUCUGAUGUUAGCGGCGGACGGGUGAGUAACACGUGGAUAACCUACCUAUAAGACUGGGAUAACUUCGGGAAACCGGAGCUAAUACCGGAUGAUAUUUUGAACCGCAUGGUUCAAAAGUGAAAGACGGUCUUGCUGUCACUUAUAGAUGGAUCCGCGCUGCAUUAGCUAGUUGGUAAGGUAACGGCUUACCAAGGCAACGAUGCAUAGCCGACCUGAGAGGGUGAUCGGCCGCACUGGAGCUGCGACACGGUCCAGACUCCUACGGGAGGCAGCAGUAGGGAAUCUUCCGCAAUGGGCGAAAGCCUGACGGAGCAACGCCGCGUGAGUGAUGCAGGUCUUCGGAUCGUAAAGCUCUGUUAUUAGGGAAGAACAUAUGUGUAAGUCGCUGUGCACAUCUUGACGGUCCCUAGUCAGACAGCCACGGCUAACUACGUG